UACAGAGGUCGCAAGCGUUGUUCGGAUUUACUGGGCGUAAAGGGCGCGUAGGCGGCAGGGCGUGUCAAGUGUGAAAUCUCCGGGCCCAACCCGGAAAGUGCGCUUGAAACUACCCUGCUGGAGUCUGGAAGAGGGAAUCGGAAUGCGGGGUGUAGCGGUGAAAUGCGUUGAUAUCCUGCAGAACACCGGAGGCGAAGGCGGAUUCCUUGUACAGCACUGACGCUGAGGCGCGAAAGUCGGGGGAGCAAAC
rnacentral:rRNA from 1 species